rnacentral:rRNA from 1 species
GCAAGUCGAGCCGUAUUGUUUCUUCCGAAACCGAGAGAACCGCCGCACGGGUGCGGGACACGUGUGCAACCUGCCUUUAUCUGGGGGAUAGCCUUUCGAAAGGAAGAUUAAUACCCCAUAAUAUUUUGAAUGGCAUCAUUUAAAAUUGAAAACUCCGGUGGAUAGAGAUGGGCACGCGCAAGAUUAGAUAGUUGGUAGGGUAACGGCCUACCAAGUCAGUGAUCUUUAGGGGGCCUGAGAGGGUGAUCCCCCACACUGGUACUGAGACACGGACCCAACUCCUACGGGAGGCAGCAGUGAGGAAUAUUGGACAAUGGGUGAGAGCCUGAUCCAGCCAUCCCGCGUGACGGACGACGGCCCUAUGGGUUGUAAACUUCUUUUGUACAGGGAUAAACCUUUCCACGUGUGGAAAGCUGAAGGUACUGUACGAAUAAGCACCGGCUAACUCCGUG